rnacentral:tRNA from 1 species
GGCCGGUUAGUUUAGUUGGGAAAACACUAGAUUUGUAAUCUUGAGCCCUCGGAUCGUUCCCGGGACUGGCCU